AAUAUGUGGGCCGCUCUGGAGCCGUGGUCGCACUGUGUGUGAGUGAGGGAGAGUGAGUGCGGGACCUGAGGCUGUGUGUGUGUGAACUGUGGCCACUGGCGGGGUCAGGGGGGUGCGGCGGAGCCGCCUGGGAAGGCCAAGCCAUGUCUACAGUAGCGGUACAUGUGGACUCCAAAGCUGAGCUCACUACCCUGCUGGAGCAGUGGGAAAAGGAACAUGGCAGUGGGCAGGACAUGGUACCUAUCCUUACCAGGAUGUCUGAAUUGAUUGAAAAAGAAACUGAAGAAUAUCGUAAGGGGGAUCCAGACCCAUUUGAUGAUCGACAUCCUGGUCGAGCUGAUCCAGAGUGUAUGCUGGGCCACUUGCUGAGAAUACUCUUCAAGAAUGAUGAUUUCAUGAAUGCACUGGUGAAUGCAUAUGUGAUGACAAGCCGAGAGCCCCCUUUAAACACUGCAGCUUGCAGACUCCUACUGGACAUCAUGCCAGGCCUGGAAACUGCUGUUGUCUUUCAAGAAAAGGAAGGAAUUGUUGAGAAUCUUUUCAAAUGGGCCCGAGAGGCUGAUCAGCCAUUGAGGACGUAUUCUACUGGUCUGUUAGGAGGUGCUAUGGAAAAUCAAGACAUUGCCGCUAACUAUAGGGAUGAAAAUUCACAGCUGGUGGCAAUAGUGCUUCGAAGACUGAGGGAGCUGCAGCUUCAGGAAGUGGCUUUGAGGCAAGAAAGCAAGCGUCCUAGCCCACGCAAGCUCUCCUCUGAACCCCUUUUGCCUCUGGAUGAAGAAGCUGUGGAUAUGGACUAUGGUGACAUGGCUGUAGAUGUAGUGGAUGGUGAACAAGAGGAAGCCUCUGGAGAUAUGGAGAUCUCCUUUCAUCUUGAUUCAGGCCACAAGACCAGUAGCAGAGUGAACUCAGCAACCAAACCUGAGGAAGGAGGAUUGAGGAAAAACAAGUCAGCAAAACAGGGUGACAGAGAGAGUUUUAGGAAAGCCAAGCAAAAGUUAGGUUUCUCAUCAUCUGAUCCAGAUCGCAUGUUUAUUGAGCUGUCUAAUAGCAGCUGGUCAGAAAUGUCCCCUUGGGUGAUUGGCACCAAUUAUACCCUUUAUCCUAUGACUCCUGCUAUCGAGCAGCGACUUAUUCUCCAGUAUUUGACCCCCUUAGGAGAAUAUCAGGAGUUACUUCCCAUAUUUAUGCAACUUGGAUCACGAGAGUUGAUGAUGUUCUAUAUCGAUUUGAAACAGACUAAUGAUGUCCUGCUUACAUUUGAAGCACUCAAGCAUCUAGCAUCUCUCCUGCUCCAUAACAAGUUUGCUACAGAAUUUGUUGCGCAUGGUGGAGUACAGAAAUUACUGGAAAUUCCUCGUCCUUCUAUGGCUGCAACUGGUGUGUCCAUGUGCUUGUACUACCUGUCCUACAACCAGGAUGCCAUGGAAAGAGUUUGCAUGCAUCCCCACAAUGUUCUGUCUGAUGUGGUGAACUAUACCUUGUGGUUAAUGGAAUGUUCUCAUGCCUCAGGAUGCUGCCAUGCUACCAUGUUUUUCUCAAUCUGCUUCUCCUUUCGGGCUGUGUUGGAACUCUUUGACCGCUAUGAUGGUCUCCGUCGUCUCGUGAACUUGAUCAGUACUUUGGAGAUUCUAAAUUUGGAAGAUCAGGGUGCACUUCUGAGUGAUGAUGAAAUAUUUGCUAGCCGCCAAACUGGGAAACAUACCUGCAUGGCCUUGCGCAAGUACUUUGAGGCUCACCUGGCCAUUAAAUUAGAACAAGUGAAGCAGUCACUUCAGAGGACUGAGGGUGGCAUUCUUGUUCAUCCUCAACCCCCAUACAAGGCAUGUUCGUAUACUCAUGAACAGAUUGUGGAAAUGAUGGAGUUUUUGAUAGAAUAUGGCCCAGCACAGCUGUAUUGGGAACCAGCUGAAGUCUUCCUCAAACUUUCUUGUGUCCAACUCUUACUGCAGCUUAUUUCUAUUGCCUGCAAUUGGAAGACCUAUUAUGCAAGGAAUGACACUGUGCGCUUUGCUUUGGAUGUCCUGGCUAUUCUCACUGUUGUGCCAAAAAUUCAGCUCCAGUUGGCAGAAUCAGUGGAUGUACUGGAUGAGGCUGGUUCCACUGUCUCCACUGUAGGUAUCAGCAUUAUUUUGGGAGUGGCAGAGGGUGAGUUCUUUAUUCAUGAUGCUGAAAUUCAGAAGUCAGCACUUCAAAUUAUCAUCAAUUGUGUAUGUGGUCCGGAUAACAGAAUUUCUAGUAUUGGCAAAUUUAUAUCUGGAACUCCUCGGAGAAAGUUGCCUCAGACUCCCAAAAGCAGCGAGCACACUCUGGCCAAGAUGUGGAAUGUGGUCCAGUCCAACAAUGGCAUCAAGGUGCUUCUGUCCUUAUUGUCCAUCAAGAUGCCCAUCACAGAUGCAGACCAGAUCCGGGCCUUGGCCUGCAAGGCCCUAGUGGGCCUGUCUCGCAGUAGCACCGUCCGGCAGAUCAUCAGCAAACUGCCCCUGUUCAGCAGCUGCCAAAUCCAGCAACUGAUGAAAGAGCCUGUGCUGCAGGACAAGCGCAGUGACCAUGUCAAGUUUUGCAAGUAUGCUGCUGAGCUCAUUGAACGGGUGUCAGGAAAGCCACUUCUCAUUGGCACCGAUGUGUCCCUGGCACGACUGCAGAAAGCAGAUGUUGUUGCCCAGUCAAGGAUCUCCUUUCCUGAGAAAGAGCUGCUUCUGCUGAUACGCAACCAUCUCAUUUCUAAAGGGCUUGGGGAGACAGCAACCGUGCUGACUAAAGAGGCUGACCUGCCCAUGACUGCUGCCUCCCAUUCUUCUGCCUUUACCCCCGUCACUGCUGCUGCUUCUCCUGUUUCCCUUCCCCGUACACCUCGCAUCGCCAAUGGCAUUGCAACUCGACUGGGCAGCCAUGCUGCUGUGGGUGCCUCUGCCCCUUCUGCCCCCCCUGCUCAUCCUCAACCACGGGCCCCCCAGGGCUCGCUAGCUCUGCCUGGCCCAUCUUAUGUAGGCAACUCCCCUUUGAUUGGUAGGAUCAGUUUUAUCAGAGAGAGGCCAUCACCCUGUAAUGGCAGGAAAAUCAGAGUGUUGCGGCAGAAAUCGGACCAUGGCGCCUACAGCCAAAGCCCAGCCAUAAAAAAACAGUUGGACAGACAUCUUCCUUCCCCACCUACGCUGGACAGUAUCAUCACAGAAUAUCUUAGAGAGCAGCAUGCUCGAUGCAAGAACCCAGUUGCCACCUGCCCACCUUUCUCUCUCUUUACUCCUCACCAGUGUCCUGAGCCAAAACAGAGGCGGCAAGCGCCAAUAAACUUUACCUCAAGGCUAAACCGCAGGGCAUCAUUUCCAAAGUAUGGAGGGGUGGAUGGCGGAUGCUUUGAUAGGCACCUUAUCUUUAGCAGGUUCCGUCCUAUUUCAGUGUUCCGGGAAGCCAAUGAGGAUGAGAGUGGCUUCACCUGCUGUGCAUUCUCAGCACGGGAGCGGUUCCUAAUGCUUGGCACCUGCACUGGGCAGUUGAAGCUGUAUAAUGUGUUUAGUGGACAGGAGGAGGCCAGCUAUAACUGUCACAACUCAGCUAUCACACACCUUGAACCUUCCAGGGACGGGUCCUUGCUGCUGACAUCUGCUACUUGGAGCCAGCCUCUUUCUGCACUUUGGGGAAUGAAAUCAGUAUUUGAUAUGAAGCAUUCCUUUACAGAAGAUCACUAUGUUGAGUUCAGUAAGCACUCUCAGGAUCGGGUCAUAGGCACAAAAGGAGACAUUGCCCAUAUUUAUGAUAUUCAGACUGGCAACAAGCUGUUGACUCUGUUUAACCCAGAUCUCGCCAACAACUACAAGAGGAACUGUGCCACCUUUAACCCUACAGAUGAUCUUGUCUUAAAUGAUGGCGUCCUCUGGGAUGUCCGCUCUGCACAGGCCAUCCACAAGUUUGACAAAUUCAACAUGAACAUCAGUGGUGUUUUCCAUCCGAAUGGUCUGGAAGUCAUCAUUAAUACUGAGAUUUGGGACCUUCGUACUUUUCAUCUUUUACACACAGUUCCUGCUCUGGAUCAGUGUCGGGUGGUAUUUAACCACACGGGGACAGUGAUGUAUGGAGCUAUGUUGCAGGCAGAUGAUGAAGAUGACUUAAUGGAAGAGAGAAUGAAAAGCCCUUUUGGAUCAUCUUUCAGAACAUUUAAUGCAACUGACUACAAACCUAUAGCAACCAUUGAUGUGAAACGGAACAUCUUUGACCUGUGUACAGACACCAAAGACUGCUAUCUUGCUGUCAUUGAGAACCAAGGCAGCAUGGAUUCUCUGAACAUGGACACGGUAUGCAGGCUUUAUGAAGUGGGCAGGCAGCGUCUGGCAGAGGAUGAGGAUGAAGAGGAAGACCAGAAGCGGAUGGAAGAGGAAGAACAGGAAGAAGAAGAUGAUGAUGAAGAUGACGACGACACUGAUGACCUAGAUGAGCUUGACACUGACCAGUUGCUGGAGGCGGAGUUGGAGGAGGAUGACAACAACGAAAACGCAGGGGAGGAUGGGGACAAUGACUUUUCUCCCUCUGAUGAGGAGCUAGCAAACCUGCUAGAGGAGGGAGAGGACGGGGAGGAUGAAGACUCCGAUGCAGAUGAGGAAGUGGAACUGAUCCUGGGGGACAGUUGAGGUGAUUCAGUGAAGGAGGACUGGCCUUGUCCCUGGCCAUGGUCAGAGAGCCAGCUGACACCUCUGACAACUCUGAUCUGGAAGAUGACAUCAUCUUAUCUCUAAACGAGUGAGGAGCCACAUGGAAGAGAUUCUUAGCAGGCGAGAAAAUAAGUCAAAUGAAUUCAGAACAUCUUCCCUUCCCUUUCUCCCAGGGCUCUUAUAAGGAACUGCAUGCCCUGCUUUCAGAGGAUUAUGGCUUAGAGAGUCUCACUGGAAUCUGAAGGUCCUUCUAAAAACAAUAACAACCACAAAAAAAAAGACAACAGGGGUUAGGCCC